UACGGAGGGGGCUAGCGUUGUUCGGAAUUACUGGGCGUAAAGGGCGCGUAGGCGGUUCGGUAAGUCCUGUGUGAAAUCCCUCGGCUCAACUGAGGAACUGCACGGGAGACUGCCGGGCUUGAGUUCGGGAGAGGGAAGCGGAAUUCCGGGUGUAGCGGUGAAAUGCGUAGAUAUCCGGAGGAACACCGGUGGCGAAGGCGGCUUCCUGGACCGACACUGACGCUGAGGCGCGAAAGCUAGGGGAGCAAACGGG
rnacentral:rRNA from 1 species